UACGUAGGGUGCGAGCGUUAAUCGGAAUUACUGGGCGUAAAGCGUGCGCAGGCGGUUCGUUGUGUCGGUGGUGAAAGCCCCGGGCUCAACCUGGGAACUGCAUUUGUGACUGCAUGGCUAGAGUACGGUAGAGGGGGAUGGAAUUCCGCGUGUAGCAGUGAAAUGCGUAGAUAUGCGGAGGAACACCGAUGGCGAAGGCAAUCCCCUGGACCUGUACUGACGCUCAUGCACGAAAGCGUGGGGAGCAAACAGG
rnacentral:rRNA from 1 species